GUUCCGGGCGCAAAGGCCCCACGUGUUCCGACCCGCCAGGCCCCGCGCGGCUCGGAUCUGGCGGCGCUGCUAGGGCCGGGAGUGGGUUGGGGAGAAGCCGGGGCAGGGGAGGAGCCGCCGGAGCUGUCGGAGCCGUGACACCCAGGGCAGCCUCACUCAGAAGCCACAAGGAAAGCUAGUGGAGUCCCUCAUCCCUCCAACUUCUCUUCCAAGCUGCCCCAUGGCCCUUGAUCCAGAAAGCCACUUCAGAAAGGUUGUGGGACAGCCAUGGGAGGCUUGUUGCUGGGAAAUGUAUGACAGCGGAACAGUUAGGCUGUACCCGUUUUGCACUCUUUCUGUAUACCAUAUUGCAGUAGACAGUCAUUUCAAGGGCACAGCAAGGUUUACUACGAAGUGAGGGACUCUUGGGCAUUAUAAACUAUGCAGAUGAGGUAGAAAAUCAUCCCCAUUUUCAAGAUGAUUUGAUGUGACUUGUCCCAGAUGACACACCUCUAGGAGGUGGAACACAGCUCAUCCACCUCUGAAGGGAGAACUAUCAACAGCGAUCCAGCACUGCCUCCUGGGCCUGUGUACGUACCUGUAGGAAACAUUUUAAUUGAAAAUAAAGUGAAUUGUUAUGAUUUUUAUAGCUUUAUUUAAAUUUUUCGUGUUUAUAUUUACUCUCAAUUACAUUUUUAUACCUCGAUCCUAACUGCAAAGUCUAUAAAAUUUAGUGGCAGAAGAUAUUUAUGUCUUAGCCUCCUCUGACUCCCUGUACCACCCACUACUUAUUUGGCCUCUCCCUUUAUUUCUUCCUAUCUUCCUCUUUUUUACACCUUAUAAUAACCUUUGAGCUACUUCUCCCGUUGCUACUCAAAUCUAGUGAAGAAUCACUGAAUAGAAUCUUAACUAAAUCUAUGUUGACUCUAACGAAGGAAGAAAAAAUAUAAAUGGCAAGAAUAUCUUAAAUAGUUUUUAAACAUGGUUUGAAGCACACUGAUCAUGAUGUGUUAGAAGGCAAAAAGUCAGUGAAGGUAUUCCCUUUCAUUUCUUCUGCCUUUUGGGUUAGGUUUUCAGAGGACCUCUUGGGUAUAUGGGCAGACCUCGGAGAUAUUGCGGGUUCAGCUCCGGACUGCUGCAAUAAAGGAAAUAUCGCAAUAAAAACAGGAAUUUUUUGGUUUUCCAAAAAACUGUUUACACUGUACUGUAAAGUUCUCUUUACACUGUACUGGAGUCGAUUGAUAAAGCAAUAGCAUUGUGUCUUUAAAAAAAAUGUAUAUAAUUUUAAAAUACUUGUUGCUAAAAAAUGCAGACCCUCAUCUGAGUCUCUAGUGAAUCAUAAUCUUUCAGCUGGUGGAGGGUCUAGCCUUGAUGUUGAUGGCUACUGACUGAAGGGUGGUGGUUGCUAAAGGUUGAGGUGACUGUGGAAAUUUCUUAAAAUAAGACAGCAAUGAAGUUUGUGGUAUUAAUUGACUCUUCCUUUCAUGAAGAGUUUCUCCGUGGUAGGCAGUGCUGUUUAAUAGCGUUGUACCCACAGUAGAACGUCUUUCAAAACUGAGUCAGUUCUGUCCAACCCUGCUGCUGAUUUAUCAACUAAGUUUAUGUAAUAGUCUAAAUCCUUAGUUGUCAUUUCAGCAAUCUUCACCAGUAGAUUCCGUCUCAAGAAACCACUUUCUUUGCUCAUCCAUAAGAAGCAGCUCCUUAUCCAUGAAGAUAUUAUCAUGAGAUUGUAGCAACUCAGUCAUAUCUUCAGGCUCUACUUCUUAUUCUAGCUCUCUUGCUAUUUCUACCACAUCUGCAGUUUCUUCCUUCACUGAAGUCUUGAACCCCUCAAAGUCAUCCAUGAAGGUUGGAAUCAGCUUCUUCCAUACUCCUGUUAAAGUUGAUGUUUUGACUUAUUCCCAUGAAUGACUAAUAUUCUUCAUGGCAUCUAGAAUGGUGAAUCCUUUCCAGAAGGUUUUCAAUUUACCUUGCCCAGAUCCAUCAGAGGAAUCACUGUCUAUGGCAGCUAUAGCCUUACAAAAUGUAUUUCUUAAAUAAUAAGACUUGAAAGUUGAAAUUAUUCUUUGAUCCAUGGGCUACAGAAUGGUUGUUGUGUGAACAGGCACGAAAACAUUAAUCUCAUUGUACAUCUCCAUCAAAGCUCUUGGGUGACAAGGUACAUUGUUCAAUGAGCAGUAAUAUUUUGAAAGAAAAUUUUUUUUCUGAGCAGCAGGUCUCAUCAGUGGGCUUAAAGUAUUCAGCAAACCAUGUUGUAACAGAUGUGCUGUCAUCCAGAUUUUGUUGUUCCAUUUAUAGAGCAUAGGCAGAGUAGAUUUAGCAUAAUUCUUAAGGGCCCUAGGAUUUUCAGAAUAGUAAAUAGCAUUGACUUCAACUUAACGUCACCAGCUGCAUUAGCUUCUAACAAGAGAAUCAGCCUGUCCUUUGAAGCCAAUCAUUGACUUCUCUCUAGCUAUGAAAGUUCUAGAUGGCAUCUUUUUCUAGUAGAAGACUGUUUUGUCUGCAUUGAACAUCUGUUGUUUAUCUUAGCCACCUUCAUUAAUUAGCUAGAUCUGGAUAACUUGCUGCAGCUUCCGCAUCAGCACUUGCUGCUUCGUCUUGCACUUUAUGUUACAGAGAUGGCAUCUUUCUUUAAACCUCAUGAACCAAACUCUGUUAGCUUCAAACUUUUCUUCUACAGCUUCUUCACCUCUCUCAGCCUUCAUAGAAUUAGAGAGAGUUAGGGCCUUGCUGUGGAUUAGGCUUUGGCUCAAAGGAUUGUUGUGGCUGGUUUGAGCUUCUAUCUAAACCACUAAAACUUUCCCCACUUUCUUAUCAUUUGUGUAUUCACUGGAGUAGCACUUUCAGUUUCCUUCAAGAAACUUACCUUUGCAUUCCAACUUGUCCAACUGGGGCAAGAGGCCUAGCUUUCAGCCUGUCUCAUCUUUCGACAUGCCCUCCUCACCAAGCUUAAUCACUUCUAGUUUUUUAUUUACAGCAAGGUACACGCGAUUCUUCCUUUCACUUGAAUACUUACGGCCCUUGUAGGGUUUUUAAUUGUCUUAAUUUCAACAUUGUUACGUCUCAGGGAAUAGGGAGGCCCAAGAAGAGGCAGAGAGACGAGGAACAUCUGGUCAGUGGAGCAGUCAGAAAGCACACAUUUAUUGAUUAAGUUUGCCAUCUUAUAUGGGCAGUUUGUGGCACCCCAAAACAAUUAGAAUAGUAACAUCAAAGAUCACUAAUCACAGAUCACCACAACAAACAUAGUAAUAAUUAAGCUUGAAAUAUUGUGAGAAUUAUCAAAAUGUGAUUACAUCAAGUGAGCAAAUGCUGUUAAAAAAAUGGCACUGAUAGACUUGCUUGUUGCAGGGUUGCCACAAACCUUUAAACUGUAAAAGAAAACAAAACAGAAAACACAUUAUCUAUGAAGCGUGAUAAAGGUGAAUCGCAGUGAAAUGGGGUAUGCCUGUACUAACUGGGUUUGCCUCAGGUUGCCUCUUCCCAGUUAGAGGAAGGGGACAGGACUGUGAUAUUGGUAAACAGAAGUAUCACUACUCUGGUCUUAGGCAGGAAAACCUAUCUUUAAGUUUUCAUCCCAUCUGGUUCCAAGGAUCUUGUUUAAUUUUAGCUUAUAAGUGCUUUCAAAGCAAGAAUUCUCUCUUGGUUUAACACUUUACUUUU